rnacentral:rRNA from 1 species
UCCCCAGGCGGAGUGCUUAUUGCGUUAGCUGCGAUACAGAGAACUUAUAGCUCCCUACAUCUAGCACUCAUCGUUUACGGCGUGGACUACCAGGGUAUCUAAUCCUGUUUGCUCCCCACGCUUUCGAGCCUCAGUGUCAGUUACAGGCCAGAGAGCCGCUUUCGCCACCGGUGUUCCUCCAUAUAUCUACGCAUUUCACCGCUACACAUGGAAUUCCACUCUCCUCUCCUGCACUCAAGUCUACCAGUUUCCAAUGCAUACAAUGGUUGAGCCACUGCCUUUUACACCAGACUUAAUAAACCACCUGCGCUCGCUUUACGCCCAAUAAAUCCGGACAACGCUCGGGACCUACGUAUUACCGCGGCUGCUGGCACGUAGUUAGCCGUCCCUUUCUGGGUAGUUACCGUCACUUGAUGAGCUUUCCACUCUCACCAACGUUCUUCUCUACCAACAGAGUUUUACGAUCCGAAAACCUUCUUCACUCACGCGGCGUUGCUCGGUCAGACUUUCGUCCAUUGCCGAAGAUUCCCUACUGCUGCCUCCCGUAGGAGUUUGGGCCGUGUCUCAGU